rnacentral:rRNA from 1 species
GAUGAACGCUGGCGGCGUGCUUAACACAUGCAAGUCGAACGGUGAAAGAGAGCUUGCUCUCUGGAUCAGUGGCGAACGGGUGAGUAACACGUGAGCAAUCUGCCCCUGACUCUGGGAUAAGCGCUGGAAACGGCGUCUAAUACCGGAUACGAGCUGCGAAGGCAUCUUCAGCAGCUGGAAAGAACUUCGGUCAGGGAUGAGCUCGCGGCCUAUCAGCUAGUUGGUGAGGUAACGGCUCACCAAGGCGUCGACGGGUAGCCGGCCUGAGAGGGUGACCGGCCACACUGGGACUGAGACACGGCCCAGACUCCUACGGGAGGCAGCAGUGGGGAAUAUUGCACAAUGGGCGAAAGCCUGAUGCAGCAACGCCGCGUGAGGGACGACGGCCUUCGGGUUGUAAACCUCUUUUAGCAGGGAAGAAGCGAAAGUGACGGGACCUGCAGAAAAGGCACCGGCUAACUACG